rnacentral:lncRNA from 1 species
AUUUCUUACUUGGUCUGACUCUCUUUCCACUCUCUUUUCUACCUUCUUCUCUUUCAGCUCCCAGACUUCAUCCUGCUUCAGCUCCUGUCAUCCUGUGCUGUGGAAUUCCUAAACCUCUUAGCUUGAGCCCUGCAACGAUCUGAUUUUCACUCCGUUCUAGGAAGGUUCCAUUCUUCAGUGUGGAGCACAUAUAAGUAUGCAUCUAUAUUGGAGAAAUGAAUGCUAAACAAACGAG